rnacentral:snRNA from 1 species
GUGAUAACUUUGGCACCACAUAUGCUAACACUGGAAAAAUAUAGAAAAGACUAGCACGGCCCCUGCAUAAAGAUGACAUACAAAUUCAUAAAGUAUUCCAUAUUUAA